rnacentral:rRNA from 1 species
UACGUAGGAUGCAAGCGUUGUCCGGAAUUAUUGGGCGUAAAGAGCGCGCAGGCGGUCUAUCAAGUCAGAUGUGAAAUAUCCGGGCUUAACCCGGAGGGGUCAUUUGAAACUGGUAGACUAGAGUACAGCAGAGGAUAGCGGAAUUCCCGGUGUAGUGGUGAAAUGCGUAGAUAUCGGGAGGAACACCAGUGGCGAAGGCGGCUAUCUGGGCUGAAACUGACGCUGAGGCGCGAAAGCGUGGGGAGCAAACAGG